AGCGAACGCUGGCGGCAGGCUUAAUACAUGCAAGUCGAGCGCCCGUAGCAAUACGGGAGCGGCAGACGGGUGAGUAACACGUGGGAACAUGCCCUUCGGUUCGGAAUAACUCAGGGAAACUUGAGCUAAUACCGGAUACGCCUUACGGGAAGAUUAUCGCGAAGGAUUGGCCGCGUCCGAUUAGCUAGUUGGUGAGGUAACGGCUCACCAAGGCGACGAUCGGUAGCUGGCUGAGAGGAUGAUCAGCCACACUGGGACUGAGACACGGCCCAGACUCCUACGGGAGGCAGCAGUAGGGAAUAUUGGACAAUGGGCGAAAGCCUGAUCCAGCCAUGCCGCGUGGGUGAUGAAGGCCC
rnacentral:rRNA from 1 species